rnacentral:rRNA from 1 species
UUGGGUCUGGCUGGCCGGUCCGCCUCACCGCGAGUACUGGUCCGGCUGGACCUUUCCUUCUGGGGAAUCUCAUGGCCUUCACUGGCUGUGGGGGGAACCAGGACUUUUACUGUGAAAAAAUUAGAGUGUUCAAAGCAGGCCUUUGCUCGAAUACAUUAGCAUGGAAUAAUAGAAUAGGACGUGCGGUUCUAUUUUGUUGGUUUCUAGGACCGCCGUAAUGAUUAAUAGGGAUAGUCGGGGGCGUCAGUAUUCAGCUGUCAGAGGUGAAAUUCUUGGAUUUGCUGAAGACUAACUACUGCGAAAGCAUUCGCCAAGGAUGUUUUCAUUAAUCAGGGAACGAAAGUUAGGGGAUCGAAGACGAUCAGAUACCGUCGUAGUCUUAACCAUAAACUAUGCCGACUAGGGAUCGGACGGUGUUUCUAUUAUGACCCGUUCGGCACCUUAACGAGAAAUCAAAGUUUUUGGG